UUUUUUGGAUAUUAUUUUAGGUUAGACCUCAAUUUAGUUGUCUUUGACUAUGAAUGAAUUCUAAAAAUUGGACUGACUGAUGAAGUUUUAAUUUUCAAGGACCUAAGAGGUUGGAUCAUAAUGCAACUGUAAAAAUUAUAGUGGCUUCUCUAGAGGGAAGUUGGAUAUAUAUUAGAGUUAAUGUAAAAGUCCUUUUUGUUUUUAUGUGGACCUCUGGAUUUAUUGACAUGUUUUAGGUUAUUAUUACUUUUAUAGUGUAUACAGUGUUGGUCUUACUGCUGAGAUAUAUUUAUUCCUGAUGUAUUGGAGACCAGAGAGUGUUAAAAUUGUGUCCUGUGGUUAGAGAUUGGGUCUCCCCUCUCCUUGUCUAUUGCUGGUGGGGUCUCCUGUGGGCAACUAAUCUACCUGUCAGAACACUAGACUACUGCUUCUCCUGACGGAAUGUGGCAAUAAUCUUAGCUCUUGCAGGCAAAUCUCAGCGUGCCUGCCUGAACAGUCCUGUGCUCGGCUCUGGGGUCGCAGUGUGCUGAGACACGGAGGGAGGCCAAUGGAGAUGAGUCAGGACCUGGCACCCACCCCAUGCUCCGCCCUACUGGUAAACAGAACAGCUAUUUGCCCGUCACUCGGGCCUCUCAGGGCCCCAAGACUCCAGGAAGAAACAAAUACUUUAGAAGCCAAAACCCCAAGGCAAGUUGGGGAGAGAACAGGGAGGGGCUAACUGUCUUGGAAAUGUCCUCAUCUGGCUUCAUGACAAUAAAGAAGUCUGGCAGAUGGGAGGAUAUACCUCAACUCUCUUUCUGGUGAGACAACCUUUGGCCUUUUUUCUGAUCACUUUAUUAUAAAGUAUUUAGUGCAUAGUCUCUGUGCUUAUACUAUUAUUCCUAAGCCUGAAGAUACACUCAUCUAUGGUCUUCUCCUCCUGUUUUUUUAGAUACCAGCAAUUUCUGUUCUAAGCUUACCAGUUGUUACAUACCUGAACUGGAGGCAUGGCUGGCUGAUUCCUUCUAGCUCUGUCAGGUAGUGUCCCACCUCUAAUACGUCAAUAGCUGAACCUCCCGUUACCUUCUGUUCAGUAGCCACGGCUGAGCCUGGGCUGGAUAUUAUGAUGUCACAAAGUAGAAUCCUUGCUACUCCCAAAGGCCCAUCUGAGACCCUCUGGCUACAGCAUUUUCUUUCUUGACCAUGGUGGGAGGUUGGGAAGGUUAAUCCCUUUAUUUCUUAACUGAGCCUUAGAAUCAUAGAAUCUUACUAUGAGCAGAGACCUUGGAGACCUAGUGACUAAUUUUAAUCUAACUCCCUUAUUUUACAGAUGAAGAAAUUCAGAUUCCAGGUAGUUAAGUGGCAGAGCUAAAUCUAAACCCAGGUGCCCUCAGUAUUAGCCCCCUGCCCUUCUGAACACACUGCACACAUGCUGGGCUCUACUCUCUGGAUUUUGUCAACAUCAUUGUUCUCUGAUAGACAGCUCAUUGGAUGAUUUUUACCUGAAUCCACCCACCCAUGACAAGAAACCAUUCAGAUAAUAUGCAUCAUGGGAAGAGAACAGAGUCUCGGGGAAGAUCAUUAGUUUUUCUGACAAUCUACUGGUAGCAGAAAUAGCUAACU
ensembl:lncRNA